UUGGAGGGCAAGUCUGGUGCCAGCAGCCGCGGUAAUUCCAGCUCCAAUAGCGUAUAUUAAAGUUGUUGCAGUUAAAAAGCUCGUAGUUGAAUUUCGGGAUCAAUUUAUCGGUCGUGCCACUGGUAUGCACUGGCUUUGCUGAUUCCUCCUUCUUGUAGAACCGUAAUGCCAUUAAGUUGGUGUUGCGGGGAAACAGGACUGUUACUUUGAAAAAAUUAGAGUGUUUAAAGCAGGCUAACGCUUGAAUACAUUAGCAUGGAAUAAUGAAAUAGGACGACGAUCCUAUUUUGUUGGUUUCUAGGAUUGACGUAAUGAUUAAUAGGGAUAGUUGGGGGCAUUAGUAUUCAAUUGUCAGAGGUGAAAUUCUUGGAUUUAUUGAAGACUAACUACUGCGAAAGCAUUUGCCAAGGAUGUUUUCAUUAAUCAAGAACGAAAGUUAGGGGAUCGAAGACGAUCAGAUACCGUCGUAGUCUUAACCAUAAACUAUGCCGACUAGGGAUCGGAUGAUGUUAAUUUUAUAAUGACUCAUUCGGCGCCUUACGGGAAAC
rnacentral:rRNA from 1 species